GACGAACGCUGGCGGCGCGCCUAACACAUGCAAGUCGAACGGAGUUGUGUUGAAAGCUUGCUGGAUAUACAACUUAGUGGCGGACGGGUGAGUAACACGUGAGUAACCUGCCUCUCAGAGUGGAAUAACGUUUGGAAACGAACGCUAAUACCGCAUAACGUGAGAAGAGGGCAUCCUCUUUUUACCAAAGAUUUAUCGCUGAGAGAUGGACCCGCGUCUGAUUAGGUAGUUGGUGGGGUAACGGCCCACCAAGCCGACGAUCAGUAGCCGACCUGAGAGGGUGACCGGCCACAUUGGGACUGAGACACGGCCCAA
rnacentral:rRNA from 1 species